rnacentral:lncRNA from 1 species
CCCUGCCGAGCGCUCACGUCGGCUCGUGUAUCGCGAGUGCAUAGAGUAAAAACGCGUUUCCGUUUCCGGGUAAAAAGUGCGUUUCUGGCUGAUUAUGCUCCCGUUUCCUGUUGAUGGGUUUCCAGCUGCCUUCCGCGGAACUGCCAAAAAUCGGCUGCGUCGUGCGUUUUUCGUUCUGUUCGGCGUCCUCUGUGCCUCCAGUUUCUCUGACGCUCGGAAUUAGGAGUAAGAUGCCUCUGAGGGACCUGCGGAAGUACUGGAAGGGGAAGCAAGCGGUAAUCGUAGCGGACAGCGGAGGAAACCCAAAGGACAUCGAAGCGCAAAAGGCCCCCGACGACCCUUUGAUCAUCGACGAGAAAACCUCUGCAGAGAACACGCUCCUCAACGGCACGAAAUGCUCUCUCCCGAUUUUCCAGGUGUGGCCAAGUCAGGACUCGCCACGAGGGGAAGCCGAUGGACAAAGUUUCGUGUUCCAUUCCGAGGAUGGCUACUCUUCGACAGGACAGAAUGACUCCGGCAUUGAUUCUGUACAGGCGAGUCCCUCGCCGGUGCCGGCGGCGCAGAUCUCUCCCGGGGAGCGGUCCUCGCCGACGCCCUCCUCCAAGUACCGUCGGAAGUCGAGCACGUUCCUGCACCCGGACCACGCGCGGCUCCUCCGCUCGACCGGGCUCGGGACGGCCGCCUCCACGCCGGACGCCUCCGCCGACGAAGACUCCGAGUUCCACGGGAACCAGUCCGGCUCGGCCUCCUCCUCGACGGCCUCCUCGCUCACCUCGGUGGCGGCCGCCGUCGCCGCCAUCGGCGCCCGCCACUCGGACCCGUGGGAGCGCGACCGCCGCCGCUCCUCCACCGUCACCGCCCGCUACUCCCUCCUGGACGCCCUCGACCUGGAGUACGCCCUCAUCCGGGCGGCCGCCCGCGGGAGCGUCGGGCCCUACUCCCUCUCCGAGUCCCUCCACAAGCUCACCUUCACCCAGAGCCUCGCCUUCCCGGCGCUCGCUCGGGGGCUCGCCAGCAAGCGCCGCCCAUCCCAGGUACGUUCCGGUUUUACUUUUCUUCGCUGGAAAAAAUCACGGAUGCAAAAGUGUCAUCGGUUAUUCCCUAAAAUUGUGGUACUACCCCAAGUUGUUGGAUGAUGUCGACAAUUCCAAUUGAUUUUGGUAGUAUAGCAACUCCAGCAACUCGGGAGUGUCGAGAAAGGAUCACGUUCGGAAUGAGAGGAUCCGUUAAAUUAUGGGCGUCGAAAACAACAUAGUGCAUGGCAUUUUUACAAAACAGCUUGUCUGGUAUGGUCAUGUGCAACGGAUGCCAGAUGAUAGGUUGCCUAAGAAGGUUCUGGAUUGGGUCCCCCUGGCAGAAAGCGUAGAGGACGCCCUGUCAAAUCUUGGAUUGAGGGAAUAAGGCAGGAAAUGAGGAGAUGCGAUCUGCCGGAGGAGCUCUGGCAGGAUCGCUAUCAGUGGCGGUCGGGUGUCGCAGAGCGCGCAGAAGCGCUAUAAGAGCGACUUGUUAGUAGUAGUAGCAACUCAAGUUGGGGUGGUACCGCAACAUUUAGGUUAGUAACCCGAUUCAUUUGGAUUGUAUCACAAUUAAUUGGGGUAAUAUCACAAUAAAU